rnacentral:rRNA from 1 species
UACGGAGGUGGCAAGCGUUGUUCGGAAUUACUGGGCGUAAAGGGCGCGUAGGCGGCUAGGCAAGUCAGAUGUGAAAGCCCCGGGCUUAACUCGGGAAUUGCAUCUGAAACUGCUGGGCUUGAGUUCUGGAGGGGGUAGUGGAAUUCCCAGUGUAGCGGUGAAAUGCGUAGAUAUUGGGAGGAACACCAGUGGCGAAGGCGGCUCACUGGACCGGUACUGACGCUGAGGCGCGAAAGCGUGGGGAGCAAACAGG